AACGAACGCUGGCGGCAUGCCUAACACAUGCCAGUCGAACGAGACCUUCGGGUCUAGUGGCGCACGGGUGCGUACCGCGUGGGAACCUGCCCUUAGGUUCGGAAUAACUCAGAUUAAUUUGAGCUAAUACCGGAUGGUGUCUUCCGACCAAAGAUUUAUCGCCUUUAGAUGGGCCCGCGUUGGAUUGGCCAGUUGGGGGGGUAAAGGCCUACCAAGGCGACGAUCCAUAGCUGGUCGGAGAGGAUGAUCAGCUACACUGGGACUGAGACACGGCCCAGACUCCGACGGGAGGGAGCAGUGGGGAAUAUUGGACGAGGAGCGAUAGCCUGAUACAGCAACGCGGGGUGAGUGAUGAAGGCCUUAGGGUUGUAAAGCUCUUUGACCCGAGAUGAUAAUGACAGUAUCGGGAGAAUAAGCACCGGCUAACUCCGUG
rnacentral:rRNA from 1 species